CCUACGGGUGGCAGCAGUGAGGAAUAUUGGUCAAUGGGCUUACGCCUGAACCAGCCAAGUCGCGUGAGGGAAGACUGCCCUAUGGGUUGUAAACCUCUUUUGUCAGGGAGCAACGCCGGCUACGUGUAGCCGGACGGAGAGGACCUGAAGAAAAAGCACCGGCGAACUCCGUGCCAGCAGCCGCGGUAAUACGGAGGAUGCGAGCGUUAUCCGGCUUGAUGGGGUUGAAAGGGUGCGUAGGCGGAAUGCCAAGUCAGCGGUAAAAUCGCGGGGCUCAACCUCGCUCCGCCGUUGAAACGGGCGUUCUUGUGUGUGCGAGAAGUAUGCGUACUGCGUGGUGUAGCGGU
rnacentral:rRNA from 1 species